UACAUUAGCAAACUCACUUUUCUUGCAAGUUCUAAGGCUCCGAGUGCCAGAAACGAAGAUACCAUCUUCCUCCGUUCGAAAGAGGCUAAAGGACAAGAGAGAGACGCGAGCAGAGGGAGAGGCAGAGUUUUUUGUGUUUAGGACGAGGAGAAAGUAGACAGCUUUUCGUGAUGAAAUCAGAGCAAGGACGACCAUGCGCGACCUGCAAGCUCAGCUUUAGCAACAGCUAUUGGAGAAACAGAGUAGGGAAAGGCCCGGAAAUGAGGUGGAAUUGAGGAGCGAUGAGGCUAUAGAUGAGAUUUGAGAGAAACGAGAUGGAGCGCGAAGAGGAGUUUCAGGAAGGAGAAAGUCGCUUCGGGAGAGGGAGAGGAGCGGCAAAGAUAUGGGAAAUUAAGGAGCAAGUAAGUUUAUUAUUUAAAUGAGAUGAAAUUAAUUGAAUUAGGCUAUAUUUGUUAUGACCUCAAAAUUGAAUAAUGUUUAUGAUGUAUAGGAACUUGGCUAUGUACUGCGUACAUGCUAAAUUUGGAAGUGAUAUUUGUUUUUGAGAUCAUUCGAGCAAGAAAACUCACAUCCAUAUUAUAUGAGACUGUAUAGUAGUUAAUUUAUUCAAACCUGGUUUCACAAUAUGCAUCUCCUUGUCUGGAUCAGAGGCUUGAAUCUUGCUAAUCAUGCCACGAGAUUUUGGUAGACUAUCAACUGCUCCAUGUUUCUGUGUUGAAUCGUUUCCCAGUUAUUGAGGAUCAAAAGAAUAGAAAAGAUGAUGAAAUGGUGGUGGAUGAAUUGGGAAUGUAUAUGCCAAUGAAAUCUUGAGCAAACAGAAUGAAAUGUAGGCACUAAUUAGGGAAAUGUUUAUGUUAAGGUUUAUCAACGGUGCAAUGUACUAGAGAAGGAAGAAGACAGAUUGCUGUCUCUUUUGAUAUAUUAGGCAUGAAGAAUUUUAUGAAAGUUUUGAGUAGUUUCUUACUCAAGAGACCAUGGAGUUUUCUCUUAAUGAGGCUUUAAAUUAGAUUCAAGAUAGGAAAAGGAAGAAAAACCUCCAUUUCCUACUGAUUUCUAUGUCAAUCAACCCUUAAUUAGAUUCAUCAGUUGGGACCCUAAUAGUUUAUGUACCCAUUCAUGGUGUAAUUGAUCUGGAUUUUCCAUAAAUUUCUGAAAAUUGAUUUUCUUUUCUAUAUCAUGCACCUGUGUGUUUUUUAAGUGUUGGGUUGUUGGGAACUGUAACACCCAAGUAAUUUAAUUUUUAUCUUACUAUUUUUAUUUUUAUUUUUAUUUAUUUGAAUUUUUUAGAUUUUUAAUUAAUUUAAUUUGAUUUAAUUUAAUUUAAUUUAAUGAAAAUAAAAAUAAUAAUAAUGAUAAAAUUGGGUAAAAAUAUUAUUUGUAUUUAAUUGAAAUUGAUUUUGGAAAAAAGGGGUGAAAAUUUGGAUUAUGGGGGUAUUUUUGAAAAGAAAAUCGGAAACCGGGGGUCAAAACGCAAUUUAGAAAAGUUGU
rnacentral:lncRNA from 1 species